UACGAAGGGGGCUAGCGUUGUUCGGAAUUACUGGGCGUAAAGCGCACGUAGGCGGACAUUUAAGUCAGGGGUGAAAUCCCGGAGCUCAACUCCGGAACUGCCUUUGAUACUGGGUGUCUUGAGUGUGGAAGAGGUGAGUGGAAUUCCGAGUGUAGAGGUGAAAUUCGUAGAUAUUCGGAGGAACACCAGUGGCGAAGGCGGCUCACUGGGCCAUUACUGACGCUGAGGUGCGAAAGCGUGGGGAGCAAACAGG
rnacentral:rRNA from 1 species